CAAAAUCCUGGACAAGCACACUGCUUUGACUUGAAAUGUGUUUUACCAACAGAUUCCUGGACACCAGAGAUCUGCUAUUCAAAUCAAUGCCUGCUAACAUUGGGCUUGAUUAAAGGAAGCUAACUAAGCCUUUUGAAGGAUACCCUCCAGCCUUCCCUCUGUUUCCAUGUUCCCUUGGCAGAAAUCAGGGAUUUGAAAGCUGCAAUUCAACAGCAUCAUCCUUUCAUCUCAUGGAACACUGAUCAUCCUCCCACACCGAAGCACCACUCAUCCCUACUGAGGGCUAGCAGCAAUUAUGCUGUAACAAAGCUCCUCUUCACCAUCACCAGAGUCUCCGGUGCCGUCUAUGUCUCCAUCCUCAGCACUGCUAUCCAGGGGUGCCCCACCAAAGCUGUCCAGAGCCUCUUCGGCGUCGCGGUGCUGCCGGUAGGUCAUCCAACAGCAGGGCUCC